GUCGUGAUGUCGGAGUGGUUAACGAGACAGACUUGAAUACCCUUCAGCGAUCUGUUGCCUCAGGGCGCGCAGGUUCGAAUCCUGUUCACGACG